rnacentral:rRNA from 1 species
UACGUAGGGGCUAGCGUUAUCCGGAAUUACUGGGCGUAAAGAGCUCGUAGGUGGUUUGUCACGUCGUCUGUGAAAUUCCGGGGCUUAACCUCGGGCGUGCAGGCGAUACGGGCAAUACUUGAGUGCUGUAGGGGAGACUGGAAUUCCUGGUGUAGCGGUGAAAUGCGCAGAUAUCAGGAGGAACACCAAUGGCGAAGGCAGGUCUCUGGGCAGUUACUGACGCUGAGGAGCGAAAGCAUGGGUAGCGAACAGGAUUAGAUA